rnacentral:lncRNA from 1 species
UUCAAACGGUACAAUAGUGACGAGUAAUUUGUUAACUUGUUAUACUUGUUAAAUGAAGAUCCCUACCCCGAACACACCUCGCUGGUAGACUUUGGCCAAGGACACUGCAAAACGUAAAUCCAGUCAUGUAUAUACUUUACAAAUUGUUGCUACAUUAAUAACUUAUUAAUAGUUAACAAACAUUGAUACAUAAUCAUAUACAUAUCUUGUUGUUUAAAAUAAAUAUCAAUACUUGCUUAGAUAAACGAUACUACUCUGACUAAAGUUUACCAGUCCAUUCUACAGUAGCAAAGGCUGUCAAAUAUACCAAUAGACAACUUGCAUGUUAGACUAAUUUUUUAUUUAG